rnacentral:ribozyme from 14 species
AAGAAAGGGAGAAAAAGAAGAGAGACAAGACGGGAGAAGAGAAAACCGUUGAGUUACUCUGUCUGACACUUGUCUGUCAUUCUUUUCCUUUUCUUUUCUCUUCUGUCUCUGCUUGUGCUU